UCCUACGGGAGGCAGCAGUGGGGAAUAUUGCACAAUGGGCGAAAGCCUGAUGCAGCGACGCCGCGUGAGGGAUGAAGGCCUUCGGGUUGUAAACCUCUUUCAGCAGGGAAGAAGCGCAAGUGACGGUACCUGCAGAAGAAGCGCCGGCUAACUACGUGCCAGCAGCCGCGGUAAUACGUAGGGCGCAAGCGUUGUCCGGAAUUAUUGGGCGUAAAGAGCUCGUAGGCGGUUUGUCGCGUCUGGUGUGAAAACUCGAGGCUCAACCUCGAGCUUGCAUCGGGUACGGGCAGACUAGAGUGCGGUAGGGGAGACUGGAAUUCCUGGUGUAGCGGUGGAAUGCGCAGAUAUCAGGAGGAACACCGAUGGCGAAG
rnacentral:rRNA from 1 species